CAGAGCCAGGACUGUCCCCUAAGCACCGUCCCAGCUGCUAGCCAAGUGCUUCCCUGAACCAUGAGUGAGCCCCGGGGCCCUGCACCCCCAGCUGGCCUCCAAGCGCCCCUCGAGUGUCUCCUGGGAACUGGCGUGAUGACAACAAUGUAGAGAAAGACUCUGACUCUAUCGCAGUAUCAGCAACACUUCAGCCUUUAAUUAAAAUUUGAACCAAAACUGCAA